rnacentral:RNase_P_RNA from 1 species
AAUUUUAAGAGGAAAGUCCGAGCUGCUUUGAGAUAGGAUUCCAUUUAACAAAUGGCUAGAGUAAUCUAAGGGAAAGCGCAACAGAAAAUAAACCGCUAUUAAGCAAGGGUGAAAAGGUAGGGUAAGAGCCUACCGAGAAUCUAGCAAUAGAUUCUGCAUUGCAAGCCCAAUCCGCAGCAAGAAAGGUAUGGUUAAUAUCUCAAAUUUUAACCUUUCGCUAGAGCUUUGCUGUAAGGCAAAGAGUAGAUAAAUAGCCACAUAAACAGAACUCGGCUUAUAGCUA